UGUUUUUAGGCCGGCGGAGUCGCGGCGUUUGUGUACUUCCCCUUGGCCGGGGACCCCCCGCGGAAUGUUCUCCAUCUCGCCCGGACCAUUCUCCGGCGCACUCGACAGCAUGUCCGGAAGCAUGUCCACCCUGAUAUUCAAUCUGGAGGACUGGAGCCCUUCCAAGCACUGGAUCCGGCUGUGGGGGUAAACUUGGACCUGGCGGACACCAAGUGCAGCGCUGCGAUGGUGGGGAAGACCGAGUUGUGAGGGGAGUACAUGUCCAUCUUGCGCUGCCCGGUUGGCAGGUCCCCAUGGGUCUGGCCGAGGUUCCCCCUCAUCAGGAUCAACGCCACCCUGACCCAUGGGACCCCCGGGGUCACCGCCCCCCAGCCAUUGACGGCGUUCUACAGGAACAUGACGUCGCCUCUCCGGGUGAGCCUGGGUUUUUCCGCCACCACCACGCUAAGCCACGCCAAUUUCGGCAUGACGGCCUGGAAAUCCUUAAUCUGUAUGCAGGGUUCCACCUCCACCCCGAUCACCAAUUUCCAUGCCCUCGUGCCGAAUUCGGCUCGCCUGAACGUGGUGCCCGCGGCAACCCCACCCCCGCCCCCGAACCCCAGGCUCUGACCAUGAUUAACGCGACCACCGUUACUCGAUGAAGCCUCUUGUUUCUUUGCGUCAUCAAGUCCCUACGCUGAAAUGAGUUGCGUUCUUGAAAGGCUGGACCUGCCGAAAAAUCCCCAACCAUAGAUCCAGGGCCUGAUCCAAUAAAAGGCAUCCGUUCGGCUUUUUUUUGAGUUCACAUUCGGGCCACGAGUAAG
rnacentral:rRNA from 1 species